GGAACAUCAGCUCCCCACAGGGUCUCCAGCUGCACAGCCCUCAAAUUGCAACAUCACUUCCCCCCUGCAUGUCCAGCUGCACCGCCUCAAACUGCAACAUCAGCUCCCCGCUGGGUCUCCAGCAGCAUGGCCCUCAACCUGGAACAUCAGCUCCCCCCAACCCGGGUCUCCAACUCCACAGCCCUCAACCUGCAACACUGGCUACCAACUGGGUCUCCAGAUGCAUGGCCCUCAAACUGGAACAUCAGCUCCCCACAGGGUCUCCAGCUGCACGGCCCUCAACCUGCAACACUGGCUCCCCACCGGGUCUCCCGAUGCACGGCCCUCAAACUGCAACAUCAGUUCCCCCCGGGCAUACAGCUGCAUGGCCUUAAACUGGAACAUCAGCUCCCCGCUAGGUCUCCAGGAGCACGGUCCUCAAACUGGAACAUCAGCUCCCUGCCAGGUCACCAGCUGCAUGGCCCUCAAACUGGAACAUCACCUCCCCGCCAGGUCUCCAGCUGCAUGGCCCUCAAAUUGCAACAUCAGCUCCCAUCAGAGCCUCCAGCUGCAUGGCCAUCAAACUGGAACAUCAGCUCCCCCGCGGGUCUCCAGCUGCACAGACCUCAAACUUGAACAUCAGCUCCCCGCCGGGUCAUCAACUGCAUGGCCCUCAAACUGGAACAUCAGCUCCACCCCUGGGUCUCCAGUAGCACGGCCCUACAACUGGAACAUCAGCUUCCCCCUGGGUCUCCGGCUGCACAGCCCUACAACCGGAACAUCAGC
rnacentral:lncRNA from 1 species